rnacentral:rRNA from 1 species
CGGGGGGCAGCAGUGGGGAAUUUUGGACAAUGGGGGCAACCCUGAUCCAGCCAUGCCGCGUGUGUGAAGAAGGCCUUCGGGUUGUAAAGCACUUUCGGACGGAACGAAAUCGCACGGGUGAAUAUCCCGUGUGGAUGACGGUACUGUAAGAAGAAGCACCGGCUAACUACGUGCCAGCAGCCGCGGUAAUACGUAGGGUGCGAGCGUUAAUCGGAAUUACUGGGCGUAAAGCGUGCGCAGGCGGCUUUGCAAGUCAGACGUGAAAUCCCCGGGCUUAACCUGGGAAUGGCGUUUGAAACUACGGAGCUGGAGUGUGGCAGAGGGGGGUAGAAUUCCACGUGUAGCAGUGAAAUGCGUAGAUAUGUGGAGGAAUACCGAUGGCGAAGGCAGCCCCCUGGGCCAACACUGACGCUCAUGCACGAAAGCGUGGGGAGCAAACAGGAUUAGAUACCCGAGU